rnacentral:rRNA from 1 species
CAGUCGCCGCGGGAAUACGAAGGGUGCAAGCGUUACUCGGAAUUACUGGGCGUAAAGCGUGCGUAGGUGGUGGUUUAAGUCCGUUGUGAAAGCCCUGGGCUCAACCUGGGAAUUGCAGUGGAUACUGGGUCACUAGAGUGUGGUAGAGGAUAGUGGAAUUUCCGGUGUAGCAGUGAAAUGCGUAGAGAUCGGAAGGAACAUCUGUGGCGAAGGCGACUAUCUGGGCCAACACUGACACUGAGGCACGAAAGCGUGGGGAGCAAACAGGAUUAGAUACCCGCGUAGUCCCUGUCUCUUAUAA